GACNAACGCUGGCGGCGUGCUUAACACAUGCAAGUCGAACGGUGACCCUNGGAGCUUGCUCUGAGGUGAUCAGUGGCGAACGGGUGAGUAACACGUGAGUAACCUGCCCCAGACUCUGGAAUAACCCCGGGAAACCGGAGCUAAUACCGGAUACGAGACGGAGAGGCAUCUCUACCGUCUGGAAAGUCUUUCGGUCUGGGAUGGACUCGCGGCCUAUCAGCUAGUUGGUGAGGUAACGGCUCACCAAGGCGACGACGGGUAGCCGGCCUGAGAGGGCGACCGGCCACACUGGGACUGAGACACGGCCCAGACUCCUACGGGAGGCAGCAGUGGGGAAUAUUGCGCAAUGGGCGAAAGCCUGAUGCANCNACGCCGCGUGAGGGAUGAAGGCCUUCGGGUUGUAAACCUCUUUCAGCAGGGAAGAAGCGAAAGUGACGGUACCUGCAGAAGAAGCACCGGCUAACUACGUGCCAGCAGCCGCGGUAAUACGUAGGGUGCGAGCGUUGUCCGGAAUUAUUGGGCGUAAAGAGCUUGUAGGCGGUUUGUCGCGUCUGCUGUGAAAAUCCGGGGCUCAACCCNGGACUUGCAGUGGGUACGGGCAGACUAGAGUGUGGUAGGGGAGACUGGAAUUCCUGGUGUAGCGGUGAAAUGCGCAGAUAUC
rnacentral:rRNA from 1 species